rnacentral:lncRNA from 1 species
CGCGCCGCCCGGAUGCCCAGCUCCGCGCCGCGCGGACCCAACGAGCCCGCGCUCAGACUCCCCAGCUCCGCCGAGAGGACGCUCGCGCUGGGUCCUUCUUCUUCCCCAAGUGCAGGCAGAGCCCCCGGAGUCAUGGCCAGCCCUUCCGGCAGCUCCGAAGCCACUGGCAAGCCCUGAGGUAGGGAUGGCUGGCCCAGGAGGGAGGAGGACGACGUCCCUCCCGAAGAGAAGAGGCUGCGGCUGUUGCUGGAGGGGGGAAGCGCACAGCCCGAGGACUGCGAGGACGGGGAGGACGCGCCGCGGCCGGGCAGGGAGGAGACCGGCACCCAGACAGGUGGCGACGGCAAAGGAUUCAGGCAGAGCCCGCGGAGCCAUGGCCAGCCCUUCCAGCAGCUCCGAAGCCACUGGCAAGCCGCGAGGCAGGGAUGGCAGUCCCAGGAUGGGGGAGGAGGACGUCCCUCCCGAAGAGAAGAGGCUGGGGCUGUAGCUGGAGGGGGGAAGCGCACAGCCCGAGGACUGCGAGGACGGGGAGGACCCGCCGCUACCGGGCAGGAAGGAGACCGGCACCCAGACAGGUGGCGACGGCAAAGGAGUAAGUGAUGCGGGCGCGGGGGUCCGGGAGUGCCGGGGGCUCGGGGGUGCCGGGGACGCAACGAAGGGGCGUCGGGAGGCUCCGUGGCCGUCCCCGGGUUGAAGUUGGGAGUGCAGCCUUCAUUCUGAACCCAUUUAGGCAGCACGGGCAGCCCUCCUCGCCAUGGGCAGGAUCAGAGCCCCCCCGCCCAGUCUUGGGGUUGCUCCUGGAUGCUGUCUGGGAGGCUUGCUCAUGGUGACAUCCUCAUCUCCCCGUCCACGUUACCGCAUUCAGAGCUUGGGUCACCUGGACACUGAACUCAGGUGAAUUUUCUCUGAGAUCCCGGGAGAAGGAGGACAGUUCUUUGGAAGGUUUUCCAGGGCCGAUCACGGAAAGGAUGAGAAGGGAGAGGUCCUGGUCGGGGACACAAUUAUGGUGGCAGUGUAACGCCGGGAAACUUUAUUGCAUGAAGUCCCUCUCACUCCCUCUACCUCCCUCUUUUACGUGGACUCUGCCAAAGACCAGGAUACCAGAAUGCGGUGGAGAGGCCAAGUGUAGUGAGACCUUGGGAAUGCGAUUCUGGAGCCAGGCGGCUGGGGUUUGCAUCCUGGUUCUGCCCCUCCUUAGCUGGCUGACAUGGCACAAGCCACUUACCCUGUCUGAGGCUUACUGUCUUCAGUGGCAAAUGGAUCUGUCAACAGGCUCCAUUGCCUGGGGUUGUUGCUGCUGAGAUUAAGGGAAGCUCGUCCAUAGAAGCACUUAGCGUUGUGCCUGGCACAUAGUGUAUGGUGGAUAAGUGGGACUUAAGACUAAAACUCAUGCCCUGAUGUGUUUUUGCAGUGAUGUUUUGUUCUGGAGUACGUCACAAGAGACAAGGUCCUUGGCUGGGCAUGGUGGCUGAAGCCAAUAAUCCCAGCACUUUGAGAGGCCGAAGGGGGAGGAUCGCUUGAGCCCAGGAGUUUAAGACCAGCCUGGGCAACAUGGUGAAGCCUCAUAUCUACC